AUUGAACGCUGGCGGCAGGCCUAACACAUGCAAGUCGAGCGAGCGGCGGACGGGUGAGGAAUGUCUGGGAAACCGCCUGCUGGAGGGGGAUAACUACUGGAAACGGUAGCUAAUCACGCAUCCCAUCCGAUGUGCCCCGAUGGGAUUAGCUAGUAGGUGGGGUAACGGCCCACCUAGGCAACGAUCCCUAGCUGGUCUGAGUGGAUGACCAGCCACACUGGAACUGAGACACGGUCCAGACUCCUACGGGAGGCAGCAGUGGGGAAUAUUGGACAAUGGGCGCAAGCCUGAUGCAGCCAUGCCGCGUGUGUGAAGAAGGCCUUCGGGUUGUAAAGCACUUGCAGCGGGGAGGCGUUACCCGCAGAAGAAGCACCGGCUAACUCCGGGCCAGCCGCCGCGGGAAUAC
rnacentral:rRNA from 1 species